rnacentral:rRNA from 1 species
GACGUAGGGCGCGAGCGUUGUCCGGAUUUAUUGGGCGUAAAGAGCUCGUAGGCGGCUUGUCGCGUCGACUGUGAAAACCCGUAGCCCAACUGCGGGCCUGCAGUCGAUACGGGCAGGCUAGAGUUCGGUAGGGGAGACUGGAAUUCCUGGUGUAGCGGUGAAAUGCGCAGAUAUCAGGAGGAACACCGGUGGCGAAGGCGGGUCUCUGGGCCGAUACUGACGCUGAGAAGCGAAAGCAUGGGGAGCGAACAGG